GGAAGGAUCAUUAACACGUUAUCCACGUAAAACCAUCUCUGCGAACUUAUUUUUCAAUUAAAAGUUGGUUGGCCAGCGUAGCAAUGGAGGUAGAUGCUUUACUAUGUCACAAAACAGUGCGGCAGUGUAUUAGUGGCUCCUGGAAAUCCGGAGUUCGCUUUUUCUGCUGUGCGGGUAGAUGGGCUCCUGGAUGUCCGGAGUUCUUUUUCUGCCCUGUUUUGAUGUUCUACCUGCCUAUCUAAAUGACAAGAGUUUCUCUCUUUGUGUGUUUGGGUAUUCUGGCUCAUAUGACUUGAAUCAUAGUAGUUUCUCUAUUCACCAUUUUUUACUAUAUGAUGAUUGUGAUGGUUGUAAAGGGGUCUCACGACUCCUUCGCAGCUCACGUUAAAAAAACACUAUACAACUCUUAGCAACGGAUAUCUCGGUUCUCCUAUCGAUGAAGAACGCAGCGAAAUGCGAUACGUAAUGCGAAUUGCAGAAUUCAGUGAAUCAUCGAAUCUUUGAACGCAAAUUGCACUCUGGGGUAGCCCCCAGAGUACACUUCUUUCAGUAUCGUUUCAACACAAAACUCGGCUGCGUGCAGCUGGAGAGUGAGGGUAAGCUGCUUGUUUCCUUGCAAACAUAGGUUUUCCCUUUAAGUUCAGUUUUAGCUUGGACAUUCGACCAUAUAAGUAUUAAAAGCACUUGUUCUGCCUCUGCUGUCAAGAAAUAACCUAAAUGCAAUCAGCGGGAGUUGAUCGUCACAUCAUCUCCAACGUCUGCGCUUUAGACUUUACCUAAAUGCAAUCAGCGGGAGUUGAUCGUCACAUCUUCUCCAACGUCUGCGCUUUAGACCAUACCCCAUACUAGAUGCAAUCAGCGGGAGUGUAGAUCGUCACAUCUUCUCCGACGCCUGCGCUCUAGAUAGGCUUGACAAUCCAGAACCAAACAACGAAAGUACGGUCUUCCAUAUCAAACAGUGUCACUGUCUCUUGAUACGUUUUUCUUACUACUGCUUUCGUCGAGCAGGAAACUAGAAAAAAAAAUUCUGAGACUUGGUGAAGGUCACUGGGAAAUGCCAGAAAAAGUAUAUUGGUUGUGGAUAGUUUUUUGUGCGGAACAGUGGUUUUUGCUAAUAUGUGGUUGGGGUACCGGGGCUAUUCUAUAAGAAACUAUGGUGGGUGAAUGGGGGGGUGUAAUGCUCUCUUCCCAGUCCAUAUGAAUUUGAUCUGAAAUGAAGUGGGACUACCCGCUGAAUUUAAGCAUAUUAUUAAGCGGAGGAAAAGAAACUAACAAGGAUUCCCCUAGUAACGGCGAGUGAAGCGGGAAAAGCUCAAACCUAAAAUCGGUGUACCUAGCGGUGCUCCGAGUUGUGGUCUAGAGACGCAGUGCCAGCGUGUGACCUGGGUAUAAAUCUUUUGAAACAAGGUAUCAGAGAGGGUGAGAAUCCCGUCUUUGACCCGGAGUUUGCCGCGUACGGCCUGUGUUCUAAGAGUCGGAUAGCUUGGGAAUGCUGUCCUAAAUGGGUGGUAAAUUUCAUCUAAAGCUAAAUAUAGAGGAGAGACCGAUAGCGUACAAGUACCGUGAGGGAAAGAUGAAAAGAACUUUGAAAAGAGAGUUAAAAAGAACUUGAAAUUGCUAAGAGGUAAGCACUGGAAACCAGUCAUGCCUGUGGCUAUUUGCCCGAUCGCUGGUAGGUUGGCGAGUUUGCUGGGACGUAAAAGCCCAGUUCAUUCGUUUGGUUUAUCAGGGGUUGGGAACUGUAGCCAUGGGCGAGUCAGCAUCAGUUAGAAUCGCAGGAGAAAGUCGUACGGAAGGUAGUCCUGCUGCAGCGAUGUAGUAGGAAACUUAUAGCCGUGCGGCCCUACUGUGGCACUGACUGAGGAAACGAUAACGCGCGCCCUUCGGGGUAGCGGUCUUCAGCCCCUGCUGGUCUGGUUGAUGCGGAAAACAAAGUUUUGCGUGUUGACUCUAUGGCUGGUACGUGGGUUGGGUCGAUCAGCUGCGUGUUCGCGAUGUUGACGAAAUGGUUUUCAUUGACCCGUCUUGAAACACGGACCAAGGAGUAUAACAUAUAUGCGAGUAUUUGGGUGAGUAAAACCCUGAUGCGAAAUGAAAGUAAAGCGGGCAUUUAUUUGUCCGUGAGGUAGGAACCCUGGGCUCGUCCCGGGAGGCACUAUCGACCGAUCGUUCAUUUAUGAAAGAUUUGAGUAAGAGCAUAUCUGUUGUGACCCGAAAGAUGGUGAACUAUGCCUGAUCAGGGCGAAGCCAGGGGAAACUCUGGUGGAGGCUCGUAGCGAUACUGACGUGCAAAUCGUUCGUCUGAAUUGGGUAUAGGGGCGAAAGACUAAUCGAACCAUUUAGUAGCUGGUUCCCUC
rnacentral:misc_RNA from 1 species